rnacentral:rRNA from 1 species
ACUCCUACGGGAGGCAGCAGUGGGGAAUAUUGCGCAAUGGGGGAAACCCUGACGCAGCAACGCCGCGUGAAUGAUGAAGGCCUUCGGGUUGUAAAGUUCUGUCUUCUGGGACGAUAAUGACGGUACCAGAGGAGGAAGCCACGGCUAACUACGUGCCAGCAGCCGCGGUAAUACGUAGGUGGCAAGCGUUGUCCGGAUUUACUGGGCGUAAAGGAUGCGUAGGCGGACAUUUAAGUCAGAUGUGAAAUACCCGAGCUUAACUUGGGUGCUGCAUUUGAAACUGGGUGUCUAGAGUGCAGGAGAGGUAAGUGGAAUUCCUAGUGUAGCCGUAA